rnacentral:lncRNA from 1 species
GGCACAUUCCUAGCUGAGGUCCCAACCAAGAGCCAGCAUGAACCACUAGACACUUGCACAUGUGAGCCUUCAUAUGAUGCAGUCCUCAGGCUUGGAGCCAGUCCAGGUAAUGGAGCAGAGACUGGAGCAGAGACAAGUUGUUCCCACUGAGCUCUCCUCAGAUUACAGAUUGGGAGUGGCAAAUCAAAGGCAUUGCAGCCUCUUUCAUCACUGCCGAUUGCUGAUGCCAACCAUGUGCCAAGUGCUUAAUACGUCACCUUAAAUCUUCUCAUCCACCCUCAGAGUAGCUGCAGCAUCAACCCAGUGCCCUGACUUUCAAGACGACUAUGAAAACACCCCAACUGCUGCUAAAUUACCAGCAACAAGGAUCUGACAUUCUUAUUCAAAAGAAAGAACACCGAAAUUGACCUUACCCUGACAAUAUGAUGGCUGAAGGAUUUAUGAUCACUUAUAACAUUUGAAAUUGAGGCGGAACCUGAAGAAUAAGACUCUGGUGAAAGGUCCUAUUUAUGCUUUUGAUGUCUUUCACUUGGACAUUUACCACAUGCCUAUUGGUAGGUUUGUUACAUAGGUCAGUUAAGGUGAUACAAGAAUAAAUAAAACACUAUCCCUAUCCUUUAAUAUCAUUUAUUUAUGGGGUCAAUCACAGAUUUUCAUUUUUCAAAAUCUUUGAUAAAUGUCAGAAUUAUGUUUUUUAAUAUUUUUACAGAAUUAUUACAAUAUAUGGUAGAGGAUGGAAGGCAAGGUAGUAUGAAACGGAAAAGAUAUUUUGAAUUAAGGUAUUUGGACCUGGAUUAAUAUUUUUGCUUUGGUCUUUAUUAGCUGAGUGACCUUGAGAAAGUUCUUCUACUAAAAAAGAACAAAGAUAAUAAUUACUUCAUGAAAUUGCUGUAAAAAACACAUAACAAGUAUAUCCAGACUCAACAGUGUAUGCUCAAAAAUGCAGAUCCUUUUUCCCUUACCUGCAAAUAAAGUCUUACAGUAAUACAGUGGGGGUAAAGGUUUAAACUGGUGGAUUCAAGAAGGGCUAUAGAAAGAGGUAGCAUCUUAAUAGGGGAAGGAGAGGAUCCAAGAAAUCAGAUCCAUUUUCUACAAAAAGAAAUGGGAAGACAGAUAAUUCAAGAAGAAAAGUUUACAUGAUUAAAGACCCGAAGUUAGAAAUAGUGAUGUGUCUCAAUAGUAAGUUAGGAAUUGGGGUGGACACAAUUGUUGGAAGAAGGAUGGUUUCAGCAAAGGCCCAAGUUAGGUGACAAUUUCAAGUGUUUGUGAAGAUAUAUGAACAAAAUUAUAAAGUAGUUAGGGUAUAAGAAAUAGGGAGGAGGGAAUGAAUUAACAUUUAUGGAGUGUCUUGCAUGUUCCAAGCACUGUACUACUUGCCUUAUAAACCUUUCUUCAAUAAACGCCUACAACAAUCCUGAGAUGUGG